rnacentral:tRNA from 1 species
UCCGAAUUGGUGUAGUGGCUAACAUUUGACGCUCUCAUGUCGUCUUUAAGACAUGGGGUUCCGUCAAGCCCGGGGUUCGAUUCCCCGAUUCGGAG